CAGCAGCCGCGGGAAUACGUAGGUGGCAAGCGUUGUCCGGAAUUAUUGGGCGUAAAGGGCUCGCAGGCGGUUUCUUAAGUCUGAUGUGAAAGCCCCCGGCUCAACCGGGGGGGGUCAUUGGAAACUGGGAAACUUGAGUGCAGAAGAGGAGAGUGGAAUUCCACGUGUAGCGGUGAAAUGCGUAGAGAUGUGGAGGAACACCAGUGGCGAAGGCGACUCUCUGGUCUGUAACUGACGCUGAGGAGCGAAAGCGUGGGGAGCGAACAGGAUUAGAUACCCCGGUAGUCCCUGUCUCUUAUAA
rnacentral:rRNA from 1 species